GACGAACGCUGGCGGCGUGCCUAAUACAUGCAAGUCGAGCGAGCUUGCCUAGAUGAAUUUGGUGCUUGCACCAGAUGAAACUAGAUACAAGCGAGCGGCGGACGGGUGAGUAACACGUGGGUAACCUGCCCAAGAGACUGGGAUAACACCUGGAAACAGAUGCUAAUACCGGAUAACAACACUAGACGCAUGUCUAGAGUUUAAAAGAUGGUUCUGCUAUCACUCUUGGAUGGACCUGCGGUGCAUUAGCUAGUUGGUAAGGUAACGGCUUACCAAGGCAAUGAUGCAUAGCCGAGUUGAGAGACUGAUCGGCCACAUUGGGACUGAGACACGGCCCAAACUCCUACGGGAGGCAGCAGUAGGGAAUCUUCCACAAUGGACGCAAGUCUGAUGGAGCAACGCCGCGUGAGUGAAGAAGGGUUUCGGCUCGUAAAGCUCUGUUGGUAGUGAAGAAAGAUAGAGGUAGUAACU
rnacentral:rRNA from 1 species